GCAACUCGCCUACAUGAAGCUGGAAUUGCUAGUAAUCACAGGUCAGCAUACUGUGGUGAAUACGUUCCCGGGCCUUGUACACACCGCCCGUCACACCAUGAGAGUUGAGAAUACCCGAAGUCCAUGUCAAAGUGGCCGAAGGUAGGCUUGAUGAUUGGGGUGAAGUCGUAACAAGGUAUC
rnacentral:rRNA from 1 species